rnacentral:tRNA from 1 species
ACGGGAAUAGCUCAAUUGGUAGAGUUACGGUCUCCAAAACCGUCGGUUGGGGGUUCGAGUCCCUCUUCCCGUG